AAUUUUAUUUAAGGUCUGACCUGCCCUAUGAGAAAUUAAAUGGCCGCGGUAUUUUAACCGUGCAAAGGUAGCAUAGUCACUUGUCUYUUAAUUGGAGGCUUGAAUGAAGGGUUGGACGAGAUAUAAACUUUCUUUAUUAUAAUCAGUUGAAUUUGACUUUUGAGUCAAAAGGCUUAAAUAUAUUUAUAGGACGAGAAGACCCUAUAGAAUUUUAUAUUUUUAUUUUAAUAACUUAUUUGUUUAUGAUUAAAUUUUUUUUAUAAAAAUAUUUUGUUGGGGCGAUGGGAAGAUUUUUUUAACUCU
rnacentral:rRNA from 1 species